rnacentral:tRNA from 1 species
AAGGGAGAAGUAUUUGGUAACAUGAUUGGCUUGAAACCAGUUAGAGGGGGUUCGAGUCCUCCCUCCCUUG